UACGUAGGUGGCAAGCGAUACUCGGAAUCACUCGGCGUAAAGCGCGUGUAGGCGGUCCGGUAAGUCCGCUGUGAAAGUCGGGGGCUCAACCCUCGAAUGCCGGUGGAUACUGUCGGGCUAGAGUGCGGAAGAGGCGAGUGGAAUUCCUGGUGUAGCGGUGAAAUGCGCAGAUAUCAGGAGGAACACCAAUUGCGAAGGCAGCUCGCUGGGACGUUACUGACGCUGAGACGCGAAAGCGUGGGGAGCAAACAGG
rnacentral:rRNA from 1 species